rnacentral:rRNA from 1 species
GCGCGAAAACUUUACAAUGCGGGAAACCGUGAUAAGGGAAUCUCGAGUGCCAGCAUAUAAUGUUGGCUGUCCAGAUGCCUAAAAAGCAUCUGUUAGCAAGGGCCGGGCAAGACCGGUGCCAGCCGCCGCGGUAACACCGGCGGCCCGAGUGGUAACCGCUUUUAUUGGGUCUAAAGGGUCUGUAGCCGGCCAUGUAAGUCCCUUGGGAAAUCUGGCAGCUCAACUGUCAGGCUGCUAGGGGAUACUGCUUGGCUUGGGACCGGGAGAGGUGAGAGGUACCUUGAGGGUAGGGGUGAAAUCUUGUGAUCCUCGGGGGACCACCAGUGGCGAAGGCGUCUCACCAGAACG